UGACUCAAUCCCCCCAGCUCAAGUUCAGCUUCCCCCGGCCGCGGGCGGUAGUGCGCUUCCUGGGCCUCAGGGACCGGGGCUCCAGAGCCCGUGGCUCAGACUGAAAUGGACAAAUAGCCCUCCUCUCCCCUCCUUUCCGCCUCGAGCCAGCAGAAGAAAGUGAGGUCUGCUAGAUUGGGGGAUUUCUUCUGCACUCCAAAAGGCCGGCUCAACAAUAUCCUUAAGGAUAUCUGUUCCGAGAGGGUGGUACCUGAAACCAUCUAUCUAUGUUAAUGCCCUGGUGGGAUGUCUCCUCUUAUCCUAUAAAACCCCCUAUCUUCCUGUUGUAAAAUGUGAAUCACAGAUUAAAAUGUAACAAGCUCUAACAAAAAAUGUUUAUAAGGCUGUCUUUAGGUCUGUCCCGAGCUCGGUACCAAAUAAAUUCUAAAUCUUCCUCA